CUUUAUUCUGUGUCUCUGUGUGUUGUGUGUUCUGUGUGUUCUCUGUGACAUCAGAAAUGGGCUAGAAAGGAGGAUUCUUUCAUGGGCUCCAUGACAUUAGGUCAUUCCCAUAUCUCAGUUUUCCUGCCUAAAAGUGGGACUUAUAAACCCUCCCUUGCUCAGAUGUUAGGAUGGGAGGAUUAAGAUUGCAAACAUUAUUGCUGUGCCUUUCAGCUAAAAGAUUAUGAGCAAUUUAAGGAUCAGAAUGGGGUCUGUAUAAUCUCUGUUGCAUCAUGCCUAACAUAAGCCCACAGCUCUUCAUGGCUUCUCACACCACAGCCACAAAAAAAAGAAAGGGAAAAAAACCCACCCUCCAAAUGAAAACAGAAUUGAAGGGUGAAGAGACCCCAGCUGCCCAUGGGCAGACAGCUGCACCUCUAAUGCAGACCAUUGGACUUUCAUUAAAGAGAAAGACCCUUGCCCUGCUCUGUCUGCUCAUCCUUGUAUGUGUCUUCCUUCUGUCACUGCUCAGAUCCCAGCCUCCAUGUGUCCUUAAAUCAUGUUCCAGACCCCUUCCUCAUCUGGUAGCAGCCCCCUUCCUGCCUCCUUCCUUCCCCUGGAAUUCAUGGUUGACUUUGAGUAACAAAUUGAGGAAAGCUAAACUAUAGAUAAAACGGGACUACUGAAUAUCUGCAGGCUUGUCAGUAAUAGUGGCUCUUGGAGGUGAGGGAGGGUAUUGGCUGGAUGCCUACUGAGGACCCAGCACCAUUUUGGGCUCAGAAGCACUAUGCCAGUCAGGCCUUGGUCCUAGAGGCACCAUUUGCCCAAGUCCUU
rnacentral:lncRNA from 1 species